rnacentral:rRNA from 1 species
CCUACGGGUGGCUGCAGUGGGGAAUUUUGCGCAAUGGGCGAAAGCCUGACGCAGCAACGCCGCGUGGGUGAUGAAGGUCUUCGGAUCGUAAAACCCUGUCGUCGGGGACGAAGGUGGCUUAGUUAAUAGCUGAGUUGCUUGACGGUACCCGGAGAGGAAGCCCCGGCUAACUCUGUGCCAGCAGCCGCGGUAAUACAGAGGGGGCAGGCGUUAUGUGGAGUGAGUGGGCGUAAAGGGCGCGGAGGCGGUUGUAAUCCCAGAGCUCAACUUGGGAACUGCAUCUGAGACUGGAAGGCUAGAGUACUGGAGAGGGUGGUAGAAUUCCACGUGUAGCGGUGAAAUGCGUAGAGAUGUGGAGGAAUACCAGUGGCGAAGGCGGCCACCUGGACAGUAACUGACGCUGAGGCGCGAAAGUGUGGGUAGCAAACAGGAUUAGAUACCCUUGUAGUC